GGGCCAAAUACUUUCAAACUUUAACUGAAUGUUCCUUAGGGUAACGGGUUUAUAAAAUGUAUCCGAAGUUUUGAUCCAUUAACAAACAUGGCCGCCAUUGCUAAAAAUAGAACAUAGGGGUCAAAUGCAGUUUUUGGCUUUUAUCUCAAAAACUAUAGCAGUUAGAGUAAAAGUGACGGAGUUAAAGUGAUGAAUAAGUCAAGAUCUAUCUGCUAUGAAAUUUUCAGACCAAUUGGACCACCCAAUGUAGGGUUACAGUCCGAAAUAGUUUAUUUUUAAGAAAUUUUACUGUUUUUGGUUAUUAUCUUUAAUAUUAUAAUAGAUAGAGAGAAAGUGUAAAUUGCAAAAAUGUUCAACUAAGUAGGAUCUACAAAUAUGUCAAAUGAUCAAAAUAGUCAGUGGACUCCUUAAUGAGUUAUUGCCCUUGAAACAUUUAUUUUUUACAUUUUUUUGUGCAAGUCUAUUACUUUUUCAAAAAUCUUCUUCUCUGAAACUACUGGGCCAUAUACUUCCAAACUUUAAUUGAAUGUUCCUUAGGGUGUCUAGUUUAUAGAUUGUAUUUGGGGAUUUGAUCCAUUCAAAAACAUGGCGGCAGUUUCUAAAAAUAGAACAUACGUGUCAAAUGAAGUUUUUGGCUUUCAUCUCAAAAACUUAAGCAGUAAGAGCAAAACUGACAAAGGUGAAAGUGUUAAACAGGUUUAGAUCUACCUGUCAAGUAAUCUUCAGACAAAUAGGAUAACUUAUUGUUGGGUUACUGUCCAGAAGUAGUUAAUUGUAGGAAAUUUUACAGUUUUGGAUUAUGUAUUAUCUUUAAUAUUAUUAUAGAAAGAGAGAAAGUUUAAAUGACAAAAUUGUUCAGGAAAGUGUGAUCUACUUAUAAGUCAAAUGCCUGAAACUGAAAUUACAGGUGAGCGAUAUCAGGGUCUCAUGAGCCUCUUGUUGAUAUUCUGUUGUGAUACAAUCUAAUAUAUUUAUUUUUUUACAAUAAUAUGUUUAUUUGUGAGUAUAUUAUCUGUUUAAAUUUGGAAUUAUGGUAUCAAUAAUGGAAUUAAAAUGUUUUGAUUCUG